GCCCUGAUCCCCGCUUCUAUUCGUAACCCCAUCCCCUGCUGACCACCCCCAUGACACUAGAUAGGUCAUGAGCGCCGCCGCCGCCCCCAGACGCCGCGACGGCCAUGGCACUGCGGCCCUCAUCCAGGACGCCUCCGAGGACCCCUCGGUCCACUAUGACCCCGACACCACUUCCAUCGAGGACGCUGGCGGCGACGCCUCUAGGAAGGGCGACAAUUCCUUAGGUCGUCGACGGCCGCAACUACGCCACGGUCUUGGGCGCCCGUCGAUAUGAAGAAAUAACCAUCGAAACCGAUGACGAAAAUGGAUUCCCUUGUCCAUAUGUCCCCAGUGGUGAAGAUGAACUAUGGACUCUAUAUAUUCAUUUCAAGAAUGGACUUCCAAAUCAUGAGUAUAUAAGGUUAAAACUAGAAAGGGCUUCUCUAAAUUUCACAGUCUUGUCAAGAGUUAAGGACCAAACUAGGUACAAUGUCCGGGAUUAUUUAUACUACAAGAAGCGUUGUGGAGGAGAUUUAGCUACUCUAGAGCCCAUAGAUUAUGUCAAACAGAUUGACAAUAUGAUACAAGAUAAUAUCAUGGAGAAGGAAAUCAGAUUAGUACUCACAAAGCAGCCAGAGACAACAAAUCAAGUUAGCAUAACACCAAUGAAGUGACCAAGGCACUAGAAUGAAGAAGAUGAGGACUACCAUCUGUUUAUGGAUGAUGAUUGUAAUGAAUACAAGGUCUGGCUACAAAACCUGCCACAGAUAGAAGGAAUGAUUUAAAGGAUGACUAUAGGAGGGAAAAAUUUCACACGUACAAGGAAUUUUUAAGGAUCAAAGGAGACAUGGAACAAAUUAUGGCAAUUGUUGAGCAACCUAACACUACCGAUAGCAUCAUAGUUGAAGACGAUGAAAGUAAUGGAAGCAAUGUGACACCGGUACCAUCAAAUAGGCCAAGCUAUGCAAGAAGGCCAAGGGUUUAGGGAAAUGGUUUGUGAUGAUUCGUACUUUUUAUAUUGGGUUCACUAUUAUUAACUGACAACUAUAAACGCUGAAGUUCAUUGUUCCAUUUUUUAAAAGGAGUUGGUUCCGAUCAACCAAAGAAGAAAGGUCGUGGUACUGUUAAAGGAAAAAUAGUUGUUAACAAGAGAGUUAAGGAACGCACCCAAAAACUUUUAAUUGAAUUUUUAGAGAUUCGUGGAGGACUAAUUGGACCGAACAGCUAUGCAUUUGUCGAUGAGAUCGUAUUAUUUACAAGGAAAUGGGCCCCACUCUUUGGAGUAAACAGUUGGAAGAAUAUAAAGGAUGAAACCAAAGAAAAAAUUACAGAAGAGAUGCUGUUUAUCUGGAACUUCACCAACAUUAGCAGCAUGGAAAAACAAAAGGAGAAAAUAUGGCUUGCCAUCGAGCAUAUAAAGAAUGGUGAGGCACUCUGAGUGCCACAUACAGGGCUUCCAAAAACUAUGCUGAGAGAAUUAGAAAUAUACCUAAAGACAUGGACCUUGUUGGGUGGCACUACCUGCUCUUAUAUUUUGGAUCCAAAGAAUUCAAGAAGGUUAGCGACCAAAACUCCUCCAACCGUAAGCAACAAAAACCACACAUCUGACGGGUUUCAAAAACUUCUCUAAGUGUAGCUUCGAGCUGAGAAACGAAGAAACUGGUGAAGAGCAAAGUGAUCUUCUUCUUUGGAGGAGCACUCACACAAAACAUGGGAAUUGGUCAAAUUCUAUGUCAGCUACAGUAUAUGAAAAUACAGCCUUCAAAAUUGGUGAGAUUGGCUUACGACCUAAUACACAACCACUAUCAUGUGUUGAGGAGAACAUGAUUUUCCAGUCAUGCUACAAAGAAGUCACAGCAGUCAAAUCAUCAAAAUUACAUGGCCAUGGAUAUUUGUCUAAGUAUCGAACUCGUAAAGAACUUAUGAAAGAGAACCUUGAAGUUCAUGCACGUGUUGAAACUGCUACUAGAGGGAAGAGCAUUGCUUUUGAAGCACAGGUUGAGAACCUCAAAGAACAGAUUGCGCACGACGCUAUAGAGAGGGAGAGGGUGAGAGAAGAAAUGAGGAAGAUGCAAGAGGAGCUGGAAGAAGGAAAAAACAAAUAAGAGAAAUGAACCAAGACUUUCUUAAAAUGAUGGCACAACACAAAGAAGGAACUCUGAUUGAAAAUACACCACAAAACAAUGAGAAUACACAAGCUGCACCAACCAUACAAGACGGCGAUGAGACUGCUGAACAUGAAGAAGACAAUGUCUUCGAGCAGACUCAGCCUGGGAGUAUUGUCACAGUACAAAGAGAUGCAGAUACUCAUCGUACUAAGAAUCCUAGUAUUGUCAGCAAAAAGCUUUUCAACGAAAAUACUGAACAAGUGCCACCAUCGAAGGCAUAUAUCACUCAACAACAGCUGUUGAAUAAAUCAAGAUCAAGCAAAAGGAGGUAGGUACACAAGAUUUCAGAGGGAGGCUCGUCAAGCAACAACAUUGGUGACACAAUGACAUAUGGCGAUGAUAGAAAACUCAUCUCAAGAGCGGCAUAGAUGUUAGGAAGUCUAGUCUAGUUGCAUAUUUUUAAAUUUUUUGGAAUAAUGAGAGAACUCCAUUUGUGAUUUUAGCUACUAUUUGAAUCAUUUGUCGUGCUAUUGGAUGAUGAUUGAGUAUAAAUUAAUAUAUGCGAGUGCAAUCUCAUUUGAUAUGGUU